ensembl:rRNA 5S_rRNA 5S ribosomal RNA
GUUUACGGCCAUACCAGCCUGGGUAUGCCCGAUCUCGUCUGAUCUCGGAAGCUAAGCAGUGUCGGGCCUGGUUAGUACUUGGAUGGGAGACCGCCUGGGAAUACCAGGUGCUGUAAGCU